rnacentral:rRNA from 1 species
GAAGCGGUAACAGCUCAAAUUUGAAAUCUGGCUCCUCUGGAGUCCGAGUUGUAAUUUGUAGAAGAUGCUUUGGGUUGUGGGUUCGGCCUAAGUUCCUUGGAACAGGACGUCAUAGAGGGUGAGAAUCCCGUAUGCGGCCGAGGCCCGCGCCUAUGUAAAGCUCUUUCAACGAGUCGAGUUGUUUGGGAAUGCAGCUCAAAAUGGGUGGUAAAUUUCAUCUAAAGCUAAAUAUGGGCCAGAGACCGAUAGCGCACAAGUAGAGUGAUCGAAAGAUGAAAAGCACUUUGGACAGAGAGUUAAACAGUACGUGAAAUUGUUGAAAGGGAAGCGCUUGCACCCAGACUUGGGCGCUGCUGAUCACCUUGCGGUCUCCGCGAGUGCACUCGACAGCGCACAGGCCAGCAUCGGUUCGGGUGGCUGGAUAAAGGCCGUAGGAACGUAGCUCCCUUCGGGGAGUGUUAUAGCCUAGGGUGCCAUGCAGCCCAGCCGGACCGAGGACCGCGCCUUCGGGCUAGGAUGCUGGCGUAAUGGGUGUAAGCGACCCGUCUUGAAACACGGACCAAGGAGUCUAACAUCUAUGCGAGUGUUUGGGUGGUAAACCCAUACGCGGAAUGAAAGUGAACGUAGGUGAGAACCCCUUUGGGGCGCAUCAUCGACCGAUCCUGAUGUCUUCGGAUGGAUUUGAGUAAGAGCAUAGC